GCCCAGCACCGAAUCCUUCACCAUCUCGGUGACAGGAAAUGUGGUGUUUAGGCCGUACCUUGUCCCGACACGUCUCUCCUCAAGUCCACUUGAUUGUGGCCCCAGGCCCAGAGAGGGUGUAAGGCCCGUGGAGGCGAGACGUUCGGUACCUGGUGCGUCCUUAGAGUCGGGUUGUUUGGGAAUGCAGCCCUAAGCGGGUGGUAAACUCCAUCCAAGGCUAAAUACCAGCACGAGUCCGAUAGCGAAGAAGUACCGCGAGGGAAGGUUGAAAAGAACUUUGAAGAGAGAGUUCAAGAGUACGUGAAACCGCUGAGAGGCAAACUGGUGGAACUGAAAUGGUCCCGAGGAAUUCAGCCGUUGGUCGUUGCACAGUCUUUGGUGAUUGAUCUAACGACGGCGCCAUUGAAUGACGUUUCGAUCAUCGGUGCACUUUCCUCGCCUGGGCCCGACCACGACCGGUGAGCUGAUCUGUCUGUCGUGCUUGGAAGAUAGCGCCGUCUUCGGAAGGCGUGUUAUAGACARGCAUACGGAGCAGUCGGCGCACUGGAUGAUAGUGCCUGCCCAUCUGGGCUCAUAUGGUGGUUGUUUUGUUGGCGAGUUCUGAUGUCACUACUUCGGUAGAGUCGUUAGACUCUGUUGGCAUUAUGGCUGUCCUCUAUGAUUGGCACUGUUAAGUCUGUGGUUGUGAAGUAGGUAGUCCACCUGACCCGUCUUGAAACACGGACCAAGGAGUCUAACAUGUGCGCGAGUCAUUGGGUUCACGAAACCUAAAGGCGCAGUGAAGGUAAAGAUCUGUUUUGGCAGAUUGAGGUGGGAUGCCGGGUUACGCGCCCGGCCGCACUACCGGCCCGUUCUAUAUGUCUUUCAUAGGAGCGGAGCAAGAGCGUACACGUUGGGACCCGAAAGAUGGUGAACUAUGCUUGCGCAGGUCGAAGCCAGAGAAA
rnacentral:rRNA from 1 species